AUCCCUUCUCUGUUCGUUAGCAAGAAACAGGACCGAGCCCUAAUCGAAGGAUUGGAGAGGUGAUGUGGUGAUUCCGGCCACCACAGAUUGAUUGGAUUAGUUCUUCCACCGGAGUUGUGAUCAUCUCCGGCGAUAGAAGAAGUAGAGGACCUUGAUUUAUACGAGCAGCGUGACGUGGGGUGGUUCUGUUGAUUGCGGGAUAUAUCGAGGCGGGUAUUUCUUCCUUAAGUUCUAUUUAGUUCUUUGAACUUUAAAAGCAUGGUUAUAUUUGGACAAGUAGGUUGCAUUCCUUAAAUCAGAUUAUUUGUUGUUUUCCUGCUUGUCACUUUUGCUUGAUCUUUGAUAUAAUCUGGGUUGAUUCUUUACAGUCUCUAUUCUUGUUAUCUGUGACUCUAUUGUUCAUACACAUGUAGAGUGUUGUAGGGAUGACUGUAUUGGGUA